CCUACGGGAGGCAGCAGUGGGGAAUAUUGGACAAUGGGGGCAACCCUGAUCCAGCCAUGCCGCGUGUGUGAAGAAGGCCCUCGGGUUGUAAAGCACUUUCAGUGAGGAAGAACGCCUGGUGGUUAAUACCCAUCAGGAAAGACAUCACUCACAGAAGAAGCACCGGCUAACUCCGUGCCAGCAGCCGCGGUAAUACGGAGGGUGCGCGCGUUAAUCGGAAUUACUGGGCGUAAAGCGCGCGUAGGUGGCUUGAUAAGCCGGUUGUGAAAGCCCCGGGCUCAACCUGGGAACGGCAUCCGGAACUGUCAAGCUAGAGUGCAGGAGAGGAAGGUAGAAUUCCCGGUGUAGCGGUGAAAUGCGUAGAGAUCGGGAGGAAUACCAGUGGCGAAGGCGGCCUUCUGGACUGACACUGACACUGAGGUGCGAAAGCGUGGGUAGCAAACAGGAUUAGAUACCCUAGUAGUC
rnacentral:rRNA from 1 species